UACGGUGGGGGCAAGCGUUGUUCGGAAUUACUGGGCGUAAAGGGCUCGUAGGCGGCCAACUAAGUCAGACGUGAAAUCCCUCGGCUUAACCGGGGAACUGCAUCUGAUACUGGAUGGCUUGAGUUCGGGAGAGGGAUGCGGAAUUCCAGGUGUAGCGGUGAAAUGCGUAGAUAUCUGGAGGAACACCGGUGGCGAAGGCGGCAUCCUGGACCGACACUGACGCUGAGGAGCGAAAGCCAGGGGAGCAAACGGG
rnacentral:rRNA from 1 species